ACUCAAAUGAAUUGACGGGGACCCGCACAAGCAGCGGAGCGUGUGGUUUAAUUCGAAGCAACGCGAAGAACCUUACCAGGGUUUGACAUGCUCUUGCACCAUCCGUAACGGGAUGUCUCUUCGGAGCGAGAGCACAGGUGCUGCAUGGCUGUCGUCAGCUCGUGUCGUGAGAUGUUGGGUUAAGUCCCGCAACGAGCGCAACCCCCAUCGUCGGUUACAGGUGUCCGACGAGACUGCCGCGAUCAACGUGGAGGAAGGCGGGGAUGACGUCAAGUCAGCACGGCCCUUACAUCCUGGGCGACACACACGCUACAAUGGCCGGUACAAAGGGUCGCCAACCCGCGAGGGGGAGCCAAUCUCCAAAAACCGGUCUCAGUUCAGAUUGUAGGCUGCAACCCGCCUGCAUGAAGUUGGAGUUGCUAGUAACCGUAGGUCAGCACACUACGGUGAAUACGUUCCCGGGUCUUGUACACACCGCCCGU
rnacentral:rRNA from 1 species